GUGCUUGUGGUGUAGUGGUUAUCACAUCCGCCUCACACGCGGAAGGUCCCAGGUUCGAUCCCUGGCAGGCACA
rnacentral:tRNA from 1 species